rnacentral:rRNA from 1 species
UACGUAGGUGGCAAGCGUUGUCCGGAUUUACUGGGUGUAAAGGGCGUGCAGCCGGAGAGACAAGUCAGAUGUGAAAACCCGGGGCCCAACCCCGGGAGUGCAUUUGAAACUGCCAUGCUGGAGUGCCGGAGAGGUAAGCGGAAUUCCUAGUGUAGCGGUGAAAUGCGUAGAUAUUAGGAGGAACACCAGUGGCGGAGGCGGCUUACUGGACGGUAACUGACGCUGAGGCUCGAAAGCGUGGGGAGCAAACAGG